rnacentral:rRNA from 1 species
AUGAAAAUCCGGAGGACCGAGUACCGUUCACGCCUAGUCGUACUCAUAAUCGCAUCAGGUCUCCAAGGUGAACAGCCUCUGGCCAAUGGAACAAUGCAGGCAAGGGAAGUCGGCAAAACGAUUCGUAACUUCGGGAAAAGGAUUGGCUCGGAGGACUGGGCUCGGGUGUCCCGGCCCCGAACCCGUCGGCUGUCGACGGAUUGCUCGAGCUGCUCACGAGGCGAGCGCGGGUCGCCGCGUGCCGGCCGGGGGACGGACCGGGAAUCGCCCCUUCGGGGGCUUUCCCCGAGCAUGAAACAGUCGACUCAGAACUGGUACGGACAAGGGGAAUCCGACUGUUUAAUUAAAACAAAGCAUUGCGAUGGUCCUCGCGGAUGCUGA